AGUGAACGCUGGCGGUAGGCCUAACACAUGCAAGUCGAACGGCAGCACAGUAGGAGCUUGCUCUUACGGGUGGCGAGUGGCGGACGGGUGAGGAAUACAUCGGAAUCUACUUUUUCGUGGGGGAUAACGUAGGGAAACUUACGCUAAUACCGCAUACGACCUACGGGUGAAAGCAGGGGAUCUUCGGACCUUGCGCGAUUGAAUGCGCCGAUGUCGGAUUAGCUAGUUGGCGGGGUAAAGGCCCACCAAGGCGACGAUCCGUAGCUGGUCUGAGAGGAUGAUCAGCCACACUGGAACUGAGACACGGUCCAGACUCCUACGGGAGGCAGCAGUGGGGAAUAUUGGACAAUGGGCGCAAGCCUGAUCCAGCCAUACCGCGUGGGUGAAGAAGGCCUUCGGGUUGUAAAGCCCUUUUGUUGGGAAAGAAAAGCAGCAGGUUAAUACCCCGCUGUUCUGACGGUACCCAAAGAAUAAGCACCGGCUAACUUCGUG
rnacentral:rRNA from 1 species